rnacentral:tRNA from 1 species
GGUCAGGUAGCCUAGUAGUUAAGGCAGCCCAUGCGUGUUUGGGUCCGGAUCCAUUGGAUCUGGUCGCUGGUUUGAUUCCAGCCCCGACCA